rnacentral:rRNA from 1 species
UCAGUUCGGAUUGUAGGCUGCAACUCGCCUACAUGAAGCCGGAAUUGCUAGUAAUGGCAGGUCAGCAUACUGCCGUGAAUACGUUCCCGGGUCUUGUACACACCGCCCGUCACACCAUGGGAGUCGGGAAUGCCCGAAGUCAGUGACCCAACCUAUUGGAGGGAGCUGCCGAAGGUAGGAUUGGCGACUGGGGUGAAGUCGUAACAAGGUAAC